GACGAAGGGGGCUAGCGUUGUUCGGAAUUACUGGGCGUAAAGCGCGUGUAGGCGGUUAUCCAAGUCAGGUGUGAAAGCCUUGAGCUCAACUCAAGAAAUGCACUUGGUACUGGGUGUCUAGAGGACCGGAGAGGAUAGUGGAAUUCCCAGUGUAGUGGUGAAAUACGUAGAGAUUGGGAAGAACACCAGUGGCGAAGGCGGCUAUCUGGACGGUUUCUGACGCUAAGACGCGAAAGCGUGGGGAGCAAACAGG
rnacentral:rRNA from 1 species